rnacentral:rRNA from 1 species
UACGUAGGGUGCGAGCGUUAAUCGGAAUUACUGGGCGUAAAGCGCGUGUAGGCGGCCUGCCAAGUCUGCUGUGAAAGCGCCUGGCUUAACCGGGCGAGGUCGGUGGAAACUGGCGGGCUGGAGGCCGGUAGAGGGGGGUGGAAUUCCUGGUGUAGCGGUGGAAUGCGCAGAUAUCAGGAGGAACACCAAUAGCGAAGGCAGCUCGCUGGGACGGUACUGACGCUAAGGCGCGAAAGCGUGGGGAGCAAACAGG